rnacentral:rRNA from 1 species
UACGUAGGGGGCGAGCGUUGUCCGGAGUUACUGGGCGUAAAGCGCUUGUAGGCGGUCCACCAAGUUUGGGGUGACAGUUGCCGACUUAAUCGGCAAAGUGCCUCAAAGACUGGCGGACUUGAGGGCCACAGAGGGACAUGGAACUCCAGGUGUAGUGGUGAAAUGCGUAGAUAUCUGGAAGAACACCAAAGGCGAAGGCAUUGUCCUGGGUGGUCGCUGACGCUGAGAGGCGAAAGCCAGGGGAGCGAACGGG